rnacentral:misc_RNA from 1 species
GCUCGCGCAUACACAUACAUACUUGUUUACAGAGGGACACGCCGUUCCGGCUUGCCCCCUCCUCCUCCCACAUUUUUUUUGUUUCCCUUGCAUCCUUUCCUAUUUCGCCGCCUGUGUCUAGCUCAAAUGCCGGUGGACUACUCCAAGAAGCUGGACGCGCUCCGGGAGCUGUACGAGCGUGUGCAGCAGAAGGACGCCAACAUCCCGGAGGACGUGUACGCCGCCGCCGGCGUGAAGAACAAGGCCCGUCUGAAGGACAUCGAGAAGGAGAUCAGCACCACGAAGAAGAAGGUUUCCCAGGAGGUGAAGAAGGUGACGAACGAGGAGAUUGAGAAGGAGUACGAGGCGCUGGCCAAGGAGCACAACAUGACGGUGGAGGAAUUCAAGGAGACGGUGAUGGGCAAGGGGCGUCAGCCCGCCCUCGGUAGCGAAUUCUCUGAGCGCCACGCUGCCCAGAGGAGGGAGCGGGCGGAGCAGCGUGAUCUAAAGGAGACCCGCCGCCAGGUCGAGCGCGGUGACUUCGACAUGGCUGUGGACUACGUUUAAGACGCGCCGGCGCCGUGGUUGUUUUCUCGGUUGCUCGUUUUAUUCCCCCGCCUGAUCCCGCCUCGACUCCAUGAGUAAUGUCGUGCUUUUUUCGGCUUCCAGUCACGCACGCUUGUCAUUGCGGCGCUUGUCUCCUCUGCGGCAGGCACGCACGUCCCGCUCCCUUUCUCUCCUCACAGACACACAGACAAACAGACUCGACCCAGCGUCUGUGCAGGUGUGUAUGCGCGCGGCUCCUUUUUGUUUCUUCCCUGCCAUCACGUCUCGUGUUGUUGUCCCUCCUCCUCCAUGUUUGCAUUAUGAUCUAACUAAGCAGUGCAGCAUGCCCACUUCCCUCCUCGUGGCUUCAUUGAACAUGAGCCCGUGCAGCUUGUGUAAGAGCGGGCCCGCAGGGCGGUGCGCAAGUUGGCUCUCGCAACGCUUUUCUUAGCCUUUACUCCACGAGGUUAGACACGGAUGCAGAAGCUUCACUGGAGCAGCACCGCGACACUGGCGAUGACUGCAACGUGAGGACUGCAGUCUGUCGAAGG